AUCCAGUUGACGAGUCCCAGAAUAGGACGAAACUCGCGUUCUGGAU
rnacentral:hammerhead_ribozyme from 1 species